rnacentral:lncRNA from 1 species
CUACGUCUUGCUGAUUUGCCGUCCAGAUGACAACAGCUCAGCGACCAUUGCUGUGGCAGUGGACGUGGGCACGACCGCAGAAAAUGUGGUUCAGUACAUCAUACAGCAGUGCAAACUAUUGGGUGAAGUCUCUGACUACCAGCUGUGUGUAAACUAUGAGAAAGAAGAGGAAACAUACCCCCUUAUUGGCCAUGAGCUACCAUUCUUCAUCCUGCAUCACUCCCUGAGAAGUCAACAAGACCAUCUGCACAUGCCCAGUGAGCCCCUGCAGGAGGUGUUUAGUUCUGGCCAGCAGACAGAGGCCACUCCCAAGACCCCUCACUUCACCCUAAAACCCAGAACACAUACUCCUAGGGGUACUUUGCUGAAACAUAAAAGAAAAAGGUCUCUGAUUGAUUGGGCACUGAGGAGGGGACACUUUAACCAAUCCGAUGGCCAGUCUGACCCACAAACUGCCUCGCACAAGC